AUCCAGCUGACCAGUCCCAAAUAGGACGAAACUCACUCUCUGGAU
rnacentral:hammerhead_ribozyme from 1 species